CCCUAUCGCUCCUUCUGAGAAGGAUGUAAUCAAUCUAAGUCCUCGCCGCCGAACUCUUGAAGGUGACUAAAUGCUCCUCCCUCUUCUGAAAUGUCGAGUUCGCAAUCAGAAGCUCAGAAGCCCUAGCGAAAUCAAGCAGUGACGUGCCUCCUCCGUUCCUAACCCCAAAGCUGAAGCCACCGUGCACCUCACCAUAACCACCACCAUCAGCCCCAAUAUGACCAUUAAAGUCCCC
rnacentral:lncRNA from 1 species